UACGAAGGGUGCAAGCGUUACUCGGAAUUACUGGGCGUAAAGCGUGCGUAGGUGGUUUGUUAAGUCUGAUGUGAAAGCCCUGGGCUCAACCUGGGAACUGCAUUGGAAACUGGCUUACUAGAGUGCGGUAGAGGGGUGUGGAAUUCCCGGUGUAGCAGUGAAAUGCGUAGAUAUCGGGAGGAACAUCUGUGGCGAAGGCGACUCCCUGGACCGACACUGACGCUGAGGAGCGAAAGCCAGGGGAGCAAACGGG
rnacentral:rRNA from 1 species